rfam:Flavobacterium branchiophilum FL-15, complete genome.
GUCUAGCCCCGAUAGAGCCGAUAUCCUUUUUGUUUUUUUUUUUUCAAAAAACAAAAAGAUAAAGGCGAUAGCGGGACAAAUU